GCAAACUUGGUCAUUUAGAGGAAGUAAAAGUCGUAACAAGGUUUCCGUAGGUGAACCUGCGGAAGGAUCAUUAGUGAUGUCUUGGGUUUAUUGACUGUGAAGCUGGGGUGUAUGUGGUGUGUGGUGUGGUGUGGUGGUGUCACAGUCGUGGUGCUGAGCAUCAAGGUUGAGCAUCAGCACAUCCACAACCGCCGCAUAUCAACAACGCGACAAAAACCAUAACAACAACAACGCGAAACGUUACAACUCCCAGCAGCGGAUCUCUUGGCUCCUGCAUCGAUGAAGAACGCAGC
rnacentral:misc_RNA from 1 species